rnacentral:rRNA from 1 species
GACGAACGCUGGCGGCGCGCUUAACACAUGCAAGUCGAACGGAAAGGCCUGCUUUCCCUUGUGGAUUGCGGGUACUCGAGUGGCGAACGGGUGAGUAACACGUGAGUGAUCUGCCCCCAACUUGGGUAUAAGCCUGGGAAACUGGGUCUAAUUCCCGAUAGGACUGCAGGGUGGUGCCUGUGGUGGAAAACGAUUUUCUAGUGGUUGGGGAUGAGCUCGCGGCCUAUCAGCUUGUUGGUGGGGUAAUGGCCUACCAAGGCGGCGACGGGUAGCCGGCCUGGGAGGGUGGACGGCCACAUUGGGACUGAGAUACGGCCCAGACUCCUACGGGAGGCAGCAGUGGGGAAUAGUGCACAAUGGGCGGAAGCCUGAUGCAGCGACGCCGCGUGGGGGAUGACGGCCUUCGGGUUGUAAACUCCUUUCGACCGCGAGGAAGCCACCUGGUUGGAAGGGUGGUGACGGUAGUGGUAGAAGAAGCACCGGCUAACUACGUG